rnacentral:rRNA from 1 species
AGCGAACGCUGGCGGCAGGCCUAACACAUGCAAGUCGAACGAACCCUUCGGGGUUAGUGGCGGACGGGUGAGUAACACGUGGGAACGUGCCUCUAGGUUCGGAAUAACUCAGGGAAACUUGUGCUAAUACCGAAUGUGCCCUUCGGGGGAAAGAUUUAUCGCCUUUAGAGCGGCCCGCGUCUGAUUAGCUAGUUGGUGAGGUAAAGGCUCACCAAGGCUACGAUCAGUAGCUGGUCUGAGAGGAUGACCAGCCACAUUGGGACUGAGACACGGCCCAAACUCCUACGGGAGGCAGCAGUGGGGAAUCUUGCGCAAUGGGCGAAAGCCUGACGCAGCCAUGCCGCGUGGAUGAUGAAGGUCUUCGGAUUGUAAAAUCCUUUCACCGGUGAAGAUAAUGACUGUAGCCGGAGAAGAAGCCCCGGCUAACUUCGUGCCAGCCGCCGCGGUAAGAC